rnacentral:rRNA from 1 species
CCUACGGGAGGCAGCAGUGGGGAAUCUUGCGCAAUGGGCGAAAGCCUGACGCAGCCAUGCCGCGUGUAUGAUGAAGGUCUUAGGAUUGUAAAAUACUUUCACCGGUGAAGAUAAUGACUGUAGCCGGAGAAGAAGCCCCGGCUAACUUCGUGCCAGCAGCCGCGGUAAUACGAAGGGGGCUAGCGUUGCUCGGAAUUACUGGGCGUAAAGGGAGCGUAGGCGGACAUUUAAGUCAGAGGUGAAAUCCCGGAGCUUAACUUCGGAACUGCCUUUGAUACUGGGUGUCUUGAGUGUGAGAGAGGUAUGUGGAACUCCGAGUGUAGAGGUGAAAUUCGUAGAUAUUCGGAAGAACACCAGUGGCGAAGGCGACAUACUGGCUCAUUACUGACGCUGAGGCUCGAAAGCGUGGGGAGCAAACAGGAUUAGAUACCCUGGUAGUCCACGCCGUAAACGAUGAUUGCUAGUUGUCGGGAAGCUUGCUUCUCGGUGACGCAGCUACGCAUAAGACACUCCGCCGUCGGGAGGUACGGUCGCGAGAAUUAAACUACAAGAAGUAGACGGCGUGAGACGUGCCGACGGACGACGACGAGGGAGGAGG